rnacentral:rRNA from 1 species
UACAGAGGGGGCAAGCGUUAUUCGGAAUUAUUGGGCGUAAAGGGCGCGUAGGCGGCUUAGCAAGUGACGGGUGAAAUCCCUCGGCUUAACCGAGGAACUGCCUGUCAAACUGCAUGGCUUGAGACCGGGAGAGGUGAGUGGAAUUCCCAGUGUAGCGGUGAAAUGCGUAGAUACAAUCAAGAACACCGAUUGCGUAGGCAGCUUACUAGGCUGUAACUGACGCUGAGGCACGAAAGCGUGGGGAGCGAACAGG